rnacentral:other from 4 species
AUUUCUCUGAGAUGUUUGCAAGCGGGCCAGUCCCCUGAGCCGAUAUUUCAUAUCACAAGAAUGUGGCGCUCCGCGGUUGGUGAGCAUGCUCGGUUCGUCCGAGAAGCCUUAAAACUGUGACGACACAUUCACCUUGAACCAAGGGUUCAAGGGUUACAGCCUGCGGCGGCAUCUCGGAGAUUCC